rnacentral:tRNA from 1 species
UUAGCUCAAAUGGCAGAGCAGCGGAUUUUUAAUCCGAAGGUCGCGGGUUCGAGCCCCGCA